ensembl:lncRNA
AUGAGAAGAAGCUAUUGUAACUCCUCAGAGAAAAUGGCAGUCUCCUCCACAGUCUGUGUCACAGCCAGGGACCAAGGCAGCACAAAGAGAAGGAAGCAAGAGGAAAUAAAGGAGGAUCACAUUUUCAUGGAAACAUGCCCACAGAACUCCAAGGAUGGAUCCAAGGUUUUAAAAAAACUUGCCGAUACAACUAUGCAGAAGCAGUACUUGAGAAAAAACGGAGCAUCAUUCUGUCCUUACAGCUGUGACACAGAAGCAGCUUUACUUUGAUGUUACACCUAAUGGCCUACUCUUAAGUUUUCCUGCUUCCACCAGUAAUGUUGAUUCUAAUCUUAGAAUGUCUGCUUCCUCAGAAACACACACACACACACACACACACACACACACACACACACACACACACAUUGAACUAACCCAGCCAUGUCCGCUUAUAAGUUAUUUCACUGGAGUUAGGCCAAUAAUCAACCCAUGCUCCUGAAUUAGUUGGGUAAUAGCUAUUGUGUUACCUUUCAAUCUAUGUUACCUAUGUUUAAUCUAUGUUACCUAUGACACCUAAAUACUGGUGAUAUGAUAUCCUCAAAGCCUCUUUCAGCACUGAUCCCAUUACAAAUCUUGGUUAACAAAGUGACAUUAUCAAACUCUGAUAUAUCAUACAAGAAAGAAAAUGGGUUGACCAAUUGCCCACCUCUAUGCUCCAGAAUGUAUUUACUGAAAGGAAAUGCCCACCUCUAUGCUCCAGAAUGUAUUUACUGAAAGGAACACAGAAAAAUCUAUAUGGCAACUUUAUUCUCCCAACUGGCAUCAUUAUUAUUCGAUAGUUCUUGGGGAGGUCAAAAUCAGUUUUAUAUUUAAGAAUACCUGAAUCUGAUCUGUGCUCUUAGAAGAUAAAUUUCAUUUUUCAAAGUCAAUACCACCAAGUAAUGUUGUAGUAGAAACAACACAGAAGACAAUGCAGGUUACUCUUGAUCUAGCAAAGGUUUAUCCACAGUGUAGCUUUCUUAAAGCAAAUUAUGAUCCAGUGUUUGGUAAAAUAACCAACAAUACUGCUUAAGUCACAUGUGGUCAACAGUCUGUCUACUUAAUCUAACACUCAGAAUCAGUGCCUUAAAGGCAAAAUAAUUAUUUGUCUCUCUUUCUCCUGGCAAAGAUAAACACUGAAGGAAAAUGGGCAUUUCUUUUUAAGCAAUCUUAGAAUGAAGUUGCAUUAUUCUAGUAUUCUACCUAAGUACUAUCUACAUUCUAGCUCAUUACAUGGCUCACAAAUAGUAUGAGUCAAAGGAUAUUUCCCCAAAUAUAACUAUAUACUGUAAGAACAUUAUAUAAGAGUUGUAGGCCAUAACUCCUGUUUCCCAUCACUAUUAUUGGUGAUGGGUGACAGUGAAUUAGGGUUCCCCAAAACAUCACUCACAAACAAAUAUAAAUUCUAAGACUUAUUUCAAAGUCAAAUUUCACUGUGUUGGGUUUAGUUACCAUUUGCCUCAUCUAUACCAUGACUGCCCUCACUUACAAUGAAAUAAAAACUGACAGUACCGAAUAUAAUUUUUGUUA